UUUCAGUGUAUUUCUGAGGUAAAAUGAGGGUCAAACUACUGUAAAUAAUGUGUUGUGCAUGUUAACAGCAUGCUCUGCUCUGUAAUUCACUGUCAUUGCAUCAACUCCAGAGCUGCAGACCAGACUGAGGAGCAGUGAGGAUGAACUUCUCAUCAGCAAGUUCAGGAUCAACCAACUGGAGAGAGAAUAUGCAGUUCAAGAAACUCGACUAACUGCCACCGAGAGCAAAACAAGUGACCUAGAAACAGAGAACGCAGAGCUGCAGACCAGACUGAGCAGCAGUGAGUCCAGGAUCGAGUUGCUGGAGAGAGAAAAUGCAGGUGAUGAAGUGUGUCAGUUAACUGAUGAACUUACAAUAAAUAUGAACAACAAAUCAAACUUCUUCUGUGUUUCAGUCCAAGCUGCAGACCUGAAGUCUUUGGAAACUCGACUGACUGCCACUGAGAGCAAAACAAGUGACCUAGAAACAGAGAACGCAGAGAGGAAGGUGGCCUUUUACACAGCUCUGACUGAUGACGGACAUGUUGGACCGUUCAACACAGACACCACACUGAAAUACAGCAAAGUCUUCACCAACAUCGGCGAUGCUUACAAUCCAUCUACAGGUAAUUUACUGCAGCUCACAUCAACAUGUUUACUCAUGUUAAUCUACAUUUGUUAGUUUUUCAUUUUCUGCUCUGUAGGUUUC